GUUUUGUUUUGUACUAUUGGGUAAACUUAAAUUUACCCUUUAGGGCGUGUUUGGUUUGUGCUAUCUUUUUAAGAUUCCUAAUAAUUCAAUAGGAAUAAAAAAAUAUGACGGUGUUUGGCUAAACGCACUAAGUAAUCUAGUUAGUAAUAUUGGAUUUACUUGGGAAUGAGAUUCAUCUCAAAAUACUAAUCUCAUUCCCUUGAGGGAGGGUGGGUAUCUUCAUAUGAAUGGAUUGGUUUAAUCAUAAUAUGUCUAAUCUUUUUCUUUCUCCCCACCCGCCGGCUAGUUGGUAUUAUUUUCCUUUACACUCUAACCUCAUAUCUCUCUCUAAACUUAUCUUUUUCUCUCUAAACUUGAACUCUUCUUCUCUAACUAAACUAAGCUCUCUCUCCCCCCUUUUUUUCUAAAAUCUCAAUUCUCUCACUCCCUCCCUGGACUCUAUUUCUCAUCCUAUUUUUUUAAUUAUACUUUCUCUCUCUAACAUAUGUUCUCUCUCCUUUUUUUCUAAAAAAAAUGUUGAAAUUUUUUAUAGUAUUAUCUAAAAUUAAAUAAAUAAAUAAAUAAAUAAAUUGUAUAUUUUUUUGUAAUCUUAAAUAACAUGAUUAAAUAAUAUGACCGUGCGAACCAAACACAGAAAUGAUUAGUAACAGGAUGAAUAGGAAUAAAAUUCUCGGAUAUCUUUUUAUUUCUAAUAAUAUUUCAUAGUGCGAAUCAAAUGCGCCCUUAGUUUAACUUAUUUUUACGUUGACAUUUGUGGUUCAAAAAGUUGUAGUUAUCUACAUAUUGGUUUUACCUCUUGUUUAAUUC
rnacentral:lncRNA from 1 species